rnacentral:rRNA from 1 species
UACGGGGGGAGCAAGCGUUGUUCGGAUUUACUGGGCGUAAAGGGCGCGUAGGCGGCCACCGCAAGUCGGUUGUGAAAUCUCUGGGCUUAACCCAGAAGGGUCAACCGAUACUGCGGGGCUAGAGUGCAGAAGGGGCAACUGGAAUUCUCGGUGUAGCGGUGAAAUGCGUAGAUAUCGAGAGGAACACCUGCGGCGAAGGCGGGUUGCUGGGCUGACACUGACGCUGAUGCGCGAAAGCUAGGGGAGCGAACGGG